GUCUUUGUAGUAUAUAAAAUACCUUGGUCUUGUAAACCAAAAAAGGAGAACAUGUGCCCUCCCUAAGACU
rnacentral:tRNA from 1 species